CAGGGUUAUUUAUAGAAGCAAGCGAUAAAUUCAGUGUGUUUCUCGGCGCGCAAAGCUAUAAAUAAUGGCACAGAUCAUUAAACCCCGAGAGCAGGCCCAGCCGCCCUGCAAACAAGAUGAAGUACAAACCACCACGUGAGAGGGAAACAGGGAGGCGCAAGGACAGCCCCAGACUCACAGCCAGUGGAUCCCAGCCUGCACCCCUCAGCCCAGGCCCAGUGAACUUACUCUGCAAGGGCCUGCCUGGGCCUCGGGGAGGGAAGAAAGAGCUGAGAGAAGCCUGGAAAAUAGAAUCCAAAUGGAGCAGCAGUGCCAAACUCCAGAUCAAGCAGAACUGACUUCUCGUGCUAAGGGAUGGGAGACGCUGGCACAGGGCGGGUAAGUCCUCUGAGGGUAGACAGCAAACCCCAUGGGCCUGCACAAAGCACAGCCUGGCUUUGUGGCCGGGGCAAAGGCCUUGGCACCUUCCCCACCUGCUCCCACCGUCUCAGGACAUGGCCAAAGCAGCCAUCUGCUCCUGCUCACUCCCAUUGGCAGCUUUGAUGCAGAGCUCAGUUAUUUGCCCUGGGAUUUAUAGUAGGAGCCAGGACAGCAGCUAAAUCCCCCAGCCACAGAGUUAAAUCAGCUGCUGCGAUGGGCCGGAACGAGGGAGCUGUUCGGGCUGGGAGGCUGCACAGCAGGGCUGGAGAAGAAAACACUUGUCCCCACUCUCUAGGGGCAGCCACCCAUAAAUCCCCUCAGGCACCGAUUAGGGCUGGCAGCCUCACCAAACCUCAGAGUUGGCAGUGCUGGUGGCAAAGAUGACACCUUAGCAGUAGCGCCCACAGAAGCAGACUGUGCCGAGGACUUGGGGGUGGACUGUAA
rnacentral:lncRNA from 1 species